UUUUUUCCAUAUUUCUAGCAAAGAGGAUUGGUUCGAGCGCUGUUGAUACUGUCCUGAGGUUUAGGGCCUGAUGACCUAUCUUUAUUGCCUUUUUUAAAUUUUGGCACUGGAUCACUAACUGAGGAUUUAGCUGGAAAUGAUGAUUUUGGGCAGUCCUGAGAAUGGUUUCCACCAACUGACUUAGGCUGAAUAAAGUUGUAGCUACUUGUUCUUGUUUUCUUUUUCUCCCUCU
rnacentral:lncRNA from 1 species